rnacentral:tRNA from 1 species
AUUCUCAAAGUAAUUAUUUACAUUUAAUUUCGACUUAAAAAUUUGAUUAAGUAAUCUGAGAAUU